rnacentral:rRNA from 1 species
AGAGUUUGAUCCUGGCUCAGGACGAACGCUGGCGGCACGCUUAACACAUGCAAGUCGAACGAGAGAAGAGGAGCUUGCUUUUCUGAUCUAGUGGCGGACGGGUGAGUAACACGUGAGCAAUCUGCCUUUCAGAGGGGGAUACCGAUUGGAAACGAUCGUUAAUACCGCAUAACAUAAUUGAACCGCAUGAUUUGAUUAUCAAAGAUUUAUCGCUGAAAGAUGAGCUCGCGUCUGAUUAGCUAGUUGGUAAGGUAACGGCUUACCAAGGCGACGAUCAGUAGCCGGACUGAGAGGUUGAUCGGCCACAUUGGGACUGAGACACGGCCCAGACUCCUACGGGAGGCAGCAGUGGGGAAUAUUGCACAAUGGAGGAAACUCUGAUGCAGCGAUGCCGCGUGAGGGAAGAAGGUUUUAGGAUUGUAAACCUCUGUCUUCAGGGACGAAAAAAGACGGUACCUGAGGAGGAAGCCCCGGCUAACUACGUGCCAGCAGCCGCGGUAAUACGUAGGGAGCGAGCGUUGUCCGGAAUUACUGGGUGUAAAGGGAGCGUAGGCGGGAUCGCAAGUCAGAUGUGAAAACUAUGGGCUUAACCCAUAAACUGCAUUUGAAACUGUGGUUCUUGAGUGAAGUAGAGGUAAGCGGAAUUCCUAGUGUAGCGGUGAAAUGCGUAGAUAUUAGGAGGAACAUCAGUGGCGAAGGCGGCUUACUGGGCUUUAACUGACGCUGAGGCUCGAAAGCGUGGGGAGCAAACAGGAUUAGAUACCCUGGUAGUCCACGCCGUAAACGAUGAUUACUAGGUGUGGGGGGACUGACCCCUUCCGUGCCGCAGCAAACGCAAUAAGUAAUCCACCUGGGGAGUACGACCGCAAGGUUGAAACUCAAAGGAAUUGACGGGGGCCCGCACAAGCAGUGGAGUAUGUGGAUUAAUUCGAAGCAACGCGAAGAACCUUACCAGGUCUUGACAUCGUAGGCAUAGCUCAGAGAUGAGUGAAAUCUCUUCGGAGACAUAUAGACAGGUGGUGCAUGGUUGUCGUCAGCUCGUGUCGUGAGAUGUUGGGUUAAGUCCCGCAACGAGCGCAACCCUUACUGUUAGUUGCUACGCAAGAGCACUCUAGCAGGACUGCCGUUGACAAAACGGAGGAAGGUGGGGAUGACGUCAAAUCAUCAUGCCCCUUAUGACCUGGGCCUCACACGUACUACAAUGGCUGUCAACAGAGGGAAGCAAAGCCGCGAGGUGGAGCGAACCCCUAAAAGCAGUCUUAGUUCGGAUUGUAGGCUGCAACCCGCCUACAUGAAGUCGGAAUUGCUAGUAAUCGCAGAUCAGCAUGCUGCGGUGAAUACGUUCCCGGGCCUUGUACACACCGCCCGUCACGCCAUGGGAGUCGGUAACACCCGAAGCCUGUAGUCUAACCGCAAGGAGGACGCAGUCGAAGGUGGGAUUGAUGACUGGGGUGAAGUCGUAACAAGGUA